CAACUCAGUGACAGAGGUACAAGAUGAGAUCAAAAUCUACCAGGUUGUUUGCUUGAGAUGUGACACAAAGGGUGACAUAACUGAGUCCAGGAGCUAAAAACCCGCAAUUUCAAUAUGAAGGAAUAAAAAGGAACCAUAAAUCAUAAGGAAGGCUGCAGAGCAGGAGGAUGUCAGGUUCUGGCCAUAGUCCAGAGAUGCCAGUUAAGAUUGCUGGAAAUCUAAACUCCAGAUAAAAGGAUGAUUCCACAGUUUGUAUCUCUCUAAUCAGUGGAACAAUUUGCACUAUCUCUGUGCUGUGUGGAACAAGUGAGCCUUAUAAUCUAGGUGAAUUAAGACGUUUGCAUAAACUUAACACAGUUAGCAACAGAACAAUGGUGAAGAAACCAUUAACUCAAGGAGCAAAAGCAAUGCCUGUUAGAACAAGAAAUGAGCACAAAUAAAAAUGUCUUCCAAGUUUUGCCGCCUGCA